rnacentral:rRNA from 1 species
UACAGAGGGGGCAAGCGUUAUUCGGAAUUAUUGGGCGUAAAGGGCGCGUAGGCGGCAUGGCAAGUGGAUGGUGAAAUCCCUCGGCUUAACCGAGGAACUGCCGUCCAAACUGCUUCGCUUGAGACCGGGAGAGGUGAGUGGAAUUCCCAGUGUAGCGGUGAAAUGCGUAGAUAUUCGCAAGAACACCAGUGGCGAAGGCGGCUCACUGGCCCGGAACUGACGCUGAGACGCGAAAGCGUGGGGAGCAAACAGG